AUUGAACGCUGGCGGCAUGCCUUACACAUGCAAGUCGAGCGGCAGCGCGGGGGCAACCCUGGCGGCGAGCGGCGGACGGGUGAGUAAUACAUCGGAACGUGUCCUUUCGUGGGGGAGUAACCAGUCGAAAGACUGGCUAAUACCGCAUGAGAUCUCACGAUGAAAGCGGGGGACCGCAAGGCCUCGCGCGAUUGGAGCGGCCGAUGUCGGAUUAGCUAGNGGCGGGGUAAAGCCCACCAAGGCUACGAUCCGUAGCUGGUAUGAGAGUACGACCAGCCACACUGGGACUGAGACACGGCCCAGACUCCUACGGGAGGCAGCAGUGGGGAAUUUUGGACAAUGGGCGCAAGCCUGAUCCAG
rnacentral:rRNA from 1 species